rnacentral:rRNA from 1 species
CCUACGGGGGGCAGCAGUGAGGAAUAUUGGUCAAUGGCCGGAAGGCUGAACCAGCCAUGCCGCGUGAAGGUCAGUGCCCUAUGGGCGUUAAACUUCUUUUGUGCGGGAGCAAUAAUGGUCACGUGUGGCCAGACGAGAGUACCGUACGAAUAAGCAUCGGCUAACUCCGUGCCAGCAGCCGCGGUAAUACGGGGGAUGCAAGCGUUAUCCGGAUUUAUUGGGGUUAAAGGGGGCGUAGGCUGUGAGGUAAGUCAGCGGUGAAAUGCCCCCGCUCAACGGGGUGAAGUGCCAUUGAUACUGGCUUGCUGGAAUGCGGAUGCGGUGGGAGGAAUGUGUGGUGUAGCGGUGAAAUGCAUAGGUAUCACACAGAACACCGAUUGCGAAGGCAUCUCACGAAUCCGCGAUUGACGCUGAUGCACGAAAGCGUGGGUAUCAAACAGGAUUAGAUACCCCUGUAGUC